GCGUAGGUGGCAGAGCGGUCAAAUGCAGCGGACUGUAAAUCCGCCGACUUCGGUCUACGGGGGUUCGAAUCCCUCUCUACGCA
rnacentral:tRNA from 1 species